GAUGAAGAACGUAGCGAAAUGCGAUAAGUAAUGUGAAUUGCAGAAUUCAGUGAAUCAUCGAAUCUUUGAACGCACAUUGCGCCCGCCAGUAUUCUGGCGGGCAUGCCUGUCCGAGCGUCAUUUCAACCCUCGAACCCCUCCGGGGGGUCGGCGUUGGGGAUCGGCCCUUUACGGGGCCGGCCCCGAAAUACAGUGGCGGUCUCGCCGCAGCCUCUCCUGCGCAGUAGUUUGCACACUCGCAUCGGGAGCGCGGCGCGUCCACAGCCGUUAAACACCCCAAACUUCUGAAAUGUUGACCUCGGAUCAGGUAGGAAUACCCGCUGAACUUAAGCAUAUCAAUAAGCGGA
rnacentral:misc_RNA from 1 species